CAAUAGCGUAUAUUAAAGUUGUUGCAGUUAAAAAGCUCGUAGUUGGAUUUGUGGCGUACGGUGUGUUCCGGGCACUUGUUGUCUGAGUAACCUGCUGUUGCCAUCCUUGGGCGGAACCUGUGUGGCAUUAGGUUGUCGUGCAGGGGAUGCCCAUCAUUUACUGUGAAAAAAUUAGAGUGUUCAAAGCAGGCUUAUGCCGUUGAAUAUAUUAGCAUGGAAUAAUGAGAUAGGACUUUUUUGCUAUUUUGUUGGUUUGCGCAAGAAGGUAAUGAUUAAUAGGGACAGUUGGGGGUAUUCGUAUUCCAUUGUCAGAGGUGAAAUUCUUGGAUUUUUGGAAGACGAACUACUGCGAAAGCAUUUACCAAGGAUGUUUUCAUUAA
rnacentral:rRNA from 1 species